GGGCCGGUGGUCUAGUUCGGUUAUGACGCCAAGUCAAUAAGGUGGAUAUCGCAAGUUCAAAUCUUGCCCGGCCCACCA
rnacentral:tRNA from 1 species